CGAAAUUCAACAUGGCGGCUCCCAGCUGCUAGAUGAGAAGUAAACAAAUCGCCGUUGUCUCGACGUAUUUAUAUUAAAAAAACAACAACAACUUAACUAAAUAGCCUGCUCAAGAUCGGAAACGGUAGUGCUCACAGUGGAGGACCUUGAGAACUUUAUUGACGACUACUUCGUCCGGUGCACGAUGGAAGACGCCAACCCGAACAAGAGGAAGAAGGCAGACUCCUCGACAGACACACAAGACUUGGAGGUCACGGAUAUCCAGUAGGAUGGCACCAUGGACUUCAAGGCUGUGUGCAUGCACUGGUGGUGUCCUUUCCCUAUUGCUCUUGGGGUCGCUCUAUUAGGGGCUUUCGACCAAAGAGCACCAGGUGCUAGGUUGGUUCAAAGUUGAGAGCCAGUGCUUUUUUGGUUCAAAUCUCGUGCCGCUCCAGAACGGGUUUGUGUUUCCAUUCGGAAGGAGCAAAGUUGGAGCUGCGUCAUUGCGCCACCACAAAACGUGUGUACGUACUGCGUACGUAGCCGUUCAACAGCGUUCACGCCGUACGGAAACCCACACAACAACAAUGGAGGACUUCAUUGGAGUGGUGUUCAUGGCUUUGCUAGUGUGUCUCGCCAUCGCUGAACAGCAAAACCUUCUGUUAGGGGUUACCCAUCGGCGUCGCCGUUCCAAUGCCCGGCGAUCACGUUUGAGAAGAAAGAUGUUUUUAGAUGUGACCCCGCCCCCUGCCCGUGACGUGCUCGGCUCUCAACUCUGGCCAAGUCUGGCCCAGCAACGAGUUGGUGCCCGAAAAAGCCCCAGUUUUUGGAGCCCGGAGCCGCAGCUCCGGUGGUGGAAAGACAAAAAACCGGCGCCAAGUCGGGCACUGGCUCCGACUCCGAACGGGCUCCACCCCGGUCGAAAGCCCCUAUCUGGCUCUGCGGGGCCGGCGUGGCUCGGGCCCCUCUGCCUGGGGGUGGGUGUCCCCGGUGUCUCUCCCUUUGAGCCCUGGGUCUGCUGGGUCUGUGCGCUCUCCCGGGGCCUUGGGGGUGGCGGCAGCUGAUCUCUUCUGGGGCGCCCUGGCUGGCCCUGGGGUUUGGGGUGGGUCGGCCCUCCCGUCGCUCCCCUGUCCCUUCCUGCUCUGCUUCCCUCCUCCUCCCUCCUCUCCUGCCUGGCCGCUCGUCCUCGCCCCUCUCCCUCCCCUGGGGGGGCCUGGGGCCCUCCGCUGCCUGGGGGUCUGGCAUGGGGGCCGGGUGGUCUCUCUGGGGGGGUGGCUCUGGCUCAUCUGGG
ensembl:lncRNA